UUCAAAGUGUCCGGAUUGGACAACCCGGCGAACAACUCCCAAAGUGUGUAGGAAUUACAAAAGGAAAGAUGUCACCGCCUGGAGAGAGAGACAGCGCAGGCUUAACUUCAACUAGAGUGAUGAAUUCCUGAUGAUCUCCACUCAGACUCACAGCAGAGUGUAACGACAACAGAGGGACUUGGAUACCAAACAAGACAAGAAAAGGCACCAACUAGAUGUUGAACAUUAUCAGAUGAGGUCCUUUGAAUGACAAGGUCUUCCUGAGACAUCAAGUAUGCUCUCUGGCUAUAGCAUAACCAAGAUGUAUCAUUUAAUAUCUUCUUUGGAC